GAUGAACGCUGGCGGCGUGCCUAAUACAUGCAAGUCGAGCGAACAGACGAGGAGCUUGCUCCUUCGACGUAGCGGCGGACGGGUGAGUAACACGUAGGUAACCUACCUAUAAGACUGGGAUAACUUCGGGAAACCGGAGCUAAUACCGGAUAAUAUUUCGAACCGCAUGGUUCGAUAGUGAAAGAUGGCUUUGCUAUCACUUAUAGAUGGACCUGCGCCGUAUUAGCUAGUUGGUAAGGUAACGGCUUACCAAGGCAACGAUACGUAGCCGACCUGAGAGGGUGAUCGGCCACACUGGAACUGAGACACGGUCCAGACUCCUACGGGAGGCAGCAGUAGGGAAUCUUCCGCAAUGGGCGAAAGCCUGACGGAGCAACGCCGCGUGAGUGAUGAAGGUCUUCGGAUCGUAAAACUCUGUUAUUAGGGAAGAACAAACGUGUAAGUAACUGUGCACGUCUUGACGGUACCUAAUCAGAAAGCCACGGCUAACUACGUGCCAGCCGCCGCCGUAAUAC
rnacentral:rRNA from 1 species